CCUUGCUUUUACAGAGGGGGAAGCUGAGGCUCAGGAAAGCGAGGUCUCCAUUCCAGGAGCCCAGCUCUGGGGCUGGAAGGGACCUCAGGUCAUUUAGUGAGACCCCCCCCUCCUUUUGCUUUUUUUUUUUUUUUGCUUUUUGGUAAGGCAGUCAGGAUUAAGUGACUUGCCCAGGGUCACACAGCUGGUAAGUGUCAUGUGUCUGAGGCUGGAUUUGAGCUCAGGUCCUCCCGACUCCAAGGCCGGAGCUUUGUCCACUGUGUCACCUAGUUGCCCCUUUUAUAAUUUUUUCCCACUCCUUUUACAGAGGGGGAAACUGAGGCCCAGGGAAGCGAGGUCCCUCCAUCCCAGGAGCCCAAGUCUGGGGCUGGAAGUGACCUGGAGGGUCGUUAGUGCAGACAGAAGAGUGUCAACAGCCCUGACCAGGAGUGAUGUGAUCGGACCAGUGUUAGAAGAGGCUUUGGGCAGGGGUGUACUGGCUCCAUGGGAAGAGGACCUGGAGGCGGAAAGCCUGGUGAGGAAGCGUGGGGAGGCACCUAUUCUGCCAGGAUGGAGCGGCAAUUAAACCCAGAUCUUUGUCAAUCAGAGACCAGUUCCUUGAAGCUCUGCCCCGCUACCUCUCUCCUCUCUGCUAAACUCAACAAGUAGCCGGGCAGGAAUCUUCAUGAGGACCUCCAGUAGGGGGGGACCACUACCUCCUGGGGCUCCUCAUUUCCACUUCUGUACUGAGUGCCAAGAAUUUCUUCCUUAUAUCAGAUCUAGAUUUGCCUCUUUGUGACAUUAGUGCUGCCCUGUGACUCCUAGUGAUAAGGAUGGGAUUUGAACCCCUAAAAGGAAAAGAUUAUGUCUUUGAGAUCUGGACUCUAAAAAGGAAAAGCCCUGGACUUUCCCAGUUGGCCAAAUCUCUGGAGUUCCCCUGAGGCUGUAAUCCUAUCAACAGGCCUUUCAGUAUCACCUAUGCCCCAUCUCCUAAUUCUCUGUUACCCUUAACCUAGCCCUCCAUUGUCUUACCUCCCCAUGGCCCUGGGCCACCUCCUACCCUUAAUCCUGUCUGGACUCUAUUUUCCCUUGGCUAAGUGAUACAAGUCCCUGACUUCUGUUACCUCACAGUCCCCAGCAGACUACUUGGCCACUCCUAGAUCCCUCCCACAGUCUUUUUGUAUAUAGGAACAUCUGGCCUCCAUUGAGGUGCUCAGAUUCUUAAGAUGUGGCCUGCUUGCAUUAGCGAUACAAAUGCUUGGCUUCCUUAAGAGUCUGGCCAAUAUGACAUAUUCUUUAGAUCUCACCCACUUCUGUUCUAAUAAUAAGCCUUGUCUUGGGCUGAAAGAAGACUUGGGUUGAAUUCAUUCGGGUAGAACUCACAAGUUGUGAUUUUGUGGUCCCAGCACCUCUAAACCUCAACACUAGCAGUCAUCUGGUUCACAUCCUGGCCCUUCUGCUUAACAUCUGUGAGAUGCUGGGUAAGUCACAUAACUUCACUGGGCCUCAGUUUCACCACCUGUAAAACAAAGGGGUUGGACCACAGGACCCCUGGUUUUUCACUUCUAAAUCUGUGAUCCUGUGAA
rnacentral:lncRNA from 1 species